CCUACGGGGGGCAGCAGUAGGGAAUCUUCCACAAUGGGCGAAAGCCUGAUGCAGCAACGCCGCGUGGGUGAAGAAGGUCUUCGGAUCGUAAAACCCUUUUGUUAGGGAAGAAAGUGCGUGAGAGUAACUGUUCACGUUUCGACGGUAUCUAACCAGAAAGCCACUGCUAACGACGUGCCAGCAGCCGCGGUAAUACGUAGGUGGCAAGCGUUAUCCGGAUUUAUUGGGCGUAAAGGGAACGCAGGCGGUCUUUUAAGUCUGAUGUGAAAGCCUUCGGCUUAACCGGAGUAGUUCAUUGGAAACUGGGAGACUUGAGUGGAGAAGAGGGAAGUGGAAAUCCAUGUGUAGCGGUGAAAUGCGUAGAUAUAUGGAAGAAAACCAGUGGCGAAAGCGGCUCUCUGGGCUGUAACUGACGCUGAGGUUCGAAAGCGUGGGGAGCAAACAGGAUUAGAUACCCCGGUAGUC
rnacentral:rRNA from 1 species